GAAUGUGUAUUACAUGAAUUAGGUGUUCUCGGAAGAAGCAGACCACAACCUGUCAAAGGAAAAUUCUUGCUGGCUUGGCUAAUACUGGAAUUUACAGACAGAUAGAAACUUGGGACCAAGAAUAUAUUAACGAACUUUUCCUCUCGAUAAUCUCGAUACAAAUAUUUUGUUUAUAUUGGGAUAAGUUAAUGCAUCCGUCUUUAAAAACUGAAAGAUCGUUCUUUAACCCUUGAGUAUAUAUCAUGGUAGUAGGUGUAGAAAAUUUCACGGAGGCGUAAGGAACAGAGUAAAAAAUGAAAUUACCAUUGAACUGACGACAUUUCUACUACUUAAAUGGGAUUUGUUUUUUUAAAGUCGAUUUUACAACAUUUAGAAGUCGAACAUUUAACAUUCGAAUUGAAAAAUGCUCAUUUUGUUUUACUAUAUUUUCCAAAUAAGUUCCGUAUAGGUACUUUUGUAUUUCUUUCAUUUUCAAAUACUUUUCUACGAUAUUUUAUAACACAGUAUUGUUUACCCUUUCACCAAUUUAUUCAUUACAGAUGUCUUAGUAUUUUUGAUUGAAUAUAUCAUACAGGCCCUCAAUAAAUUAACUCGAAGUGUCCUUA